GUCUCAGUAGUCCCUUGAGGAAUAGGUAAGCAGAGCCAGCUGCAAAGAUUUAUUACUGCCUUGGAGUUUUAGGAAUGCUAGGGAAAGUAGUCUUUAAAAAAAACUUUCACACCUACAAGCAAAUAGAAUAUAUGUAAUAUUCUAUACAUAGAAGAUAUAUCUCUCAUGUCUUCUAUGUAUGGAAGAUAUAUAAAUUAAUAUAUUUAACAUAUAAUAUUAAUUAUAU
rnacentral:lncRNA from 1 species